rnacentral:lncRNA from 1 species
AUGAAAUGUACAACCCGUACUCUAGUUCAUGCCACUAACCAGGUGAUGAAAUGUACAACCCGUACUCUAAUAUCAUUUGGCAACUUGCCAUUCAUGGCACCAAUCAGGUGAUGAAAUGUACAACCCGUACUCUCCUUCAUGCCACCAACCAGGUGAUGAAAUGUAUAACUUGUACUCUAAUAUCAUUUGGCAACUUGCCACUCAUGCCACCAACCAGGUGAUGAAAUGUACAACCUGUACUCUAAUAUCAUUUGGCAACUUUCCAUUCAUGCCACUAACCAGAUGAAUAAGGAACUCAUCCUCAUGCCACCAACCAGCUGAUGAAAUGUGAUGAAAGGUGAUGAAUGAACUCACCUUCGUACCACCAACCAAGUGAUGAAAGCAACUCACCAUUCAUUCCACCUACUAGAAGACGAGUGGUACAACUUGUACAUGUGAACUCCUAGCAUUCACAAAUAAUAAAAAACCCUCAAGCUUAACAACUCAACUAGGGGAGCAAUUAUGCCCAACAAGAGUUAUAUGUUGGAAAUAUGCCCUGAAAGUCAAUCUUUGGAAGAAAUCUUUUAGGACAAAUGAAUGGAUGUAUGGAUGAAUCUUAUACAUCAAAUGGCAAAGACACGAAUUAGGACUAUCUCAAUAAACGACAUAUGUCCUAAAUAGUGUAUCCAUGGACAAUGGAUCGAUUGGAGAAGUAAUCUAAUGAUGUUAGACUACAGAGACCUUCUUCACAUAACCAUUAUGUCCAAAAGGUUCCUGGUCAUUGGAUUGUCGGAGGGAUACUGACAAUGCGUAGACCGGUACAUACUA